rnacentral:rRNA from 1 species
UACAGGGGGGGCAAGCGUUGUUCGGAAUUACUGGGCGUAAAGCGCGUGUAGGCGGACUGGUGUGUCGGAUGUGAAAUCCCCAGGCUCAACCUGGGAACUGCAUUCGAAACUGCCAGCCUUGAGUGGUGGAGAGGGAAGUGGAAUUCCUGGUGUAGAGGUGAAAUUCGUAGAUAUCAGGAGGAACACCUGCGGUGUAGACGGCUUACUGGACCAUCACUGACGCUGAGGCACGAAAGCGUGGGUAGCAAACAGG